rnacentral:lncRNA from 1 species
UUCGGGUUUAGGAAUGUAUUAGAGCGCAUGAGCGUUCCAAUGAAGAACUCUCAUUAUUGUAUAUUGAUGAGGCUAGCAAUCAAAGAUGAUAGAAGGACAUGAUCAAUGCUCAAAAUUAAAGAAAUCCCAGAGAGAGAGCGAUCCUAAUCCAAUUCGAACAGUCAACUCUACUUAUGGUGGUACAAUUAAAAUUUAAAUAUUAGGCACUGGAUAUUGGCAAACUCUUAACCUGGUAGAGAACUUGAUCAAUCUUGCUUUUGUAGAGGUUUUAGGCAAUAAAAAUUUAAAUCACCUCCAAUUUAAGCCUUACUCAUAAUAAAGUAUAAUUAAAACCAAAGUACCAGAUCAUGUUAGAGCAUGAGUAUUGCAAAGACAAAUUACAAUGAAGAUUUAGAAUUCAAGACAAGGCUCAUGAUCAACUGUUGUAGUGGCAAAGUGAAAGACAAGAAAGCAAAGGUAGUCACUAAAAAAACUCGCACGAUCCUCGAAUUCUAUUCAUGCUUCUUCUGACAAAGACGCGAAAGUAGCGAUCUAGGCCUAAGUCUUCCCAGAAGCUUAAGAAGACUACUACUUUAUCUACUUUUGAAUGAAACAACAAUACUAAUUUAGACUCUCACAUGACUCAACUCGACUAAACUGACUCCAAGAACUUCAUACGAGCGGUGAUCCUCC